AUCAGAAACUCAAACAGUGAAGUUUCUUGUUUCGACGGCUGAAAAAAACUAAAAUGAUCCAACGGUGUGUUGUGUUGCUUCUCGUUGCCUUGGCAGCUGUUUCUCUCACAGCUCCAGUGCCAGAUGCAACAACAGCUGACGUUUCUGCUGAGAGAGAGAGAGCAGUAACUACUGCACCACCAGCAG